AUCAACUUUCGAUGGUAGGAUAGAGGCCUACCAUGGUGGUAACGGGUAACGGGGUGUUAGGGCACGACACCGGAGAGGGAGCCUGAGAAACGGCUACCACAUCCAAGGAUGGCAGCAGGCGCGCAAAUUACCCAAUCCCGACACGGGGAGGUAGUGACAAUAAAUAACAAUACGGGGUUCUUUCGGAUCUCGUAAUUGGAAUGAGUACAAUUUAAAUCUCUUAACGAGGAACAAUUGGAGGGCAAGUCUGGUGCCAGCAGCCGCGGUAAUUCCAGCUCCAAUAGCGUAUAUUAAAGUUGUUGCAGUUAAAAAGCUCGUAGUUGAAUUUCGGGGUUAGUAGGUUGGUCAUGCCUCUGGUAUGUACUGGUCUCACUGAUUCCUCCUUCCUGAUGAACCGUAAUGCCAUUAAUUUGGUGUUGCGGGGAAUCUGGACUGUUACUUUGAAAAAAUUAGAGUGUUUAAAGCAAGCUAACGCUUGAAUACAUUAGCAUGGAAUAAUGAAAUAGGACGUUCGAUCCUAUUUUGUUGGUUUCUAGGAUUGACGUAAUGAUUAAUAGGGAUAGUUGGGGGCAUUAGUAUUCAAUUGUCAGAGGUGAAAUUCUUGGAUUUAUUGAAGACUAACUACUGCGAAAGCAUUUGCCAAGGAUGUUUUCAUUAAUCAAGAACGAAAGUUAGGGGAUCGAAGACGAUCAGAUACCGUCGUAGUCUUAACCAUAAACUAUGCCGACUAGGGAUCGGAUGAUGUUAAUUUUUUAAUGACUCAUUCGGCGCCUUACGGGAAACCAAAGUGUUUGGGUUC
rnacentral:rRNA from 1 species